rnacentral:lncRNA from 1 species
GGGCUUGGUCUGCAGUAGGAGACAAUUAUUCUGCAAUCUUCCUGGUCCUGCCAUUAAUUUAUUUAAGGUCCUGGAAGAAUACUUAAAUUGGUCUCAAGUUCCAUCAGCAAGAUGGGACGACUCCAUUGCAAAGAAACAUAAUAUAUGGAAAAAUUACUAGAAAAUCUAGGAAAACUGACUGAAUGCUUUGGAAAGACACAGUCAAGAUUAAAAAAAAUGUGUCACAAGAAAGUUUACAGAACCUACUCAAACUCAAAGAGAAAUCAGAGACUAAAUUCUCAAAACUGGAAGCUGCCUGCAGCAUCCACACUCUUCAGCCCUGUACUAUGUGAUGUGUAUUACGAAUGGAGCCACCAGCAGUAUUUGUAUGAACAUGAGACAAUGUGUG